AGGCGGUGGUGGAGUCAUGUUUUGAGCCAGAAUCAUGGGAAGAGAGCUGGUCGGCCCCUUUAGGGUCCCCGAAGGUGUAAAGAUGACCUCUGCAAAGUAUGUGGAGUUUCUGACUGACCACUUUCUUCCCUGGUACAGAAGGAAGAACUAUGCUUUCCGUAAUAAAAUCAUCUUCAUGCAUGACAAUGCACCAUAUCAUGCUGCAAAGAAUACCUCUGCAUCAAUGGCUGCUAUGGGGAUAAAAGGAGAGAAAGUCAUGGUGUGGCCUCCAUCCUCCCC